AUGGGAAGUUAUGUGAAAUCAAUUGACAAAAAACAUUUGGUGGGCAUUGGAAUGGAAGGAUUCUAUGGAGAUUCAAGCCCAACCAAAAUCAAAUCCAACCCAAAUAGUUACAAACUUGGCACUGAUUUUAUCGCCAACAAUCUCAACAAAUACAUAGACUUUGCAACAAUUCAUGCAUAUCCUGAUGCUUGGCUACCAGGGCAGAGUGAAGCCACCAAAAUGGCAUUCCUGGAGGAAUGGAUUACAACUCACUGGACAGACUCGAAGACUAUCUUAAAGAAGCCAUUGAUUUUUGAAGAAUUUGGAAAGUCAACCAAAGGCCAAAACCUAACAUUCAGUGUAAGAGACAGAGAUUUAUUCCUGAGUAAGGUUUAUUCAAUCAUCUACAACCUUGCAAGAAACGGAGCAACCAUGGCUGGAGGUCUGGUCUGGCAAGUUAUGGCUGAAGGAAUGGAGUCGUAUUACGAUGGAUAUGAGAUUGUUCUUUCCCAGAAUCCUUCGACAAAUUCCAUUAUUACACAACAGUCAAAUAACAUGGCUGCCCUUCAUACUGUAAAACUCAACAUUAAAACUCAACACCGCCUCAACAAAAGUAGAUACUAAAGACUUUCUCAUACUGUAAUAAUAAGUUUAGGUUGUAUUAAACUGGUUUAUGGGUUCAGAGUAAUGGCAUAUGA
rnacentral:misc_RNA from 1 species